UACAGAGGGUGCAAGCGUUAAUCGGAAUUACUGGGCGUAAAGGGCUCGUAGGCGGCCAACUAAGUCGGAUGUGAAAUCCCCAGGCUUAACCUGGGAACUGCAUCCGAUACUGGAUGGCUUGAAUUCGGGAGAGGGAUGCAGAAUUCCAGGUGUAGCGGUGAAAUGCGUAGAUAUCUGGAGGAAUACCGGUGGCGAAGGCGGCAUCCUGGACCGAGAUUGACGCUGAUGAGCGAAAGCUAGGGGAGCAAACGGG
rnacentral:rRNA from 1 species